rnacentral:rRNA from 1 species
CGCGGCCUAUCAGCUUGUUGGUGAGGUAACGGCUCACCAAGGCAUUGACGGGUAGCUAGUCUGAGAGGACGAAUAGCCACACUGGGACUGAGACACGGCCCAGACUCCUACGGGAGGCAGCAGCAGGGAAUCUUGCACAAUGGACGAAAGUCUGAUGCAGCGACGCCGCGUGGGGGAUGAAGGCCCUAGGGUCGUAAACCCCUUUCAGUGGGGACGAAACUGACGGUACCCACAGAAGAAGGUCCGGCCAACUACGUGCCAGCAGCCGCGGUAAGACGUAGGGACCGAGCGUUGUCCGGAAUUAUUGGGCGUAAAGAGCUCGUAGGCGGUUGCGUAAGUCGGAUGUGAAAGCUCGGGGCUCAACCCCGAGACGCCAUCCGAUACUGCGCUGACUUGAAUCCAGUAGGGGAGUGUGAAAUUCCUGGUGUAGCGGUGAAAUGCGCAGAUAUCAGGAGGAACACCUAUGGCGAAGGCAGCACUCUGGGCUGGUAUUGACGCUGAGGAGCGAAAGCAUGGGUAGCAAACAGGAUUAGAUACCCUGGUAGUCCAUGCCGUAAACGGUGGGCACUAGGUGUGGGGACUUUCAACGGUUUCCGUGCCGAAGCUAACGCAUUAAGUGCCCCGCCUGGGGAGUACGG